AGCGACAUUAACUUUCUGCCUGGAGAGCCCCGUUAGACUGACACAACACAGACACAGGCUGGCAAUUAACGACUCACCUGUCAGGUCAGCACAACCGAUCGCUAACUACAAAGCACAAUCAUGUAUAGAAAAGUUAUACCUCGCCAUCUGCUUUCAAGAAAACAGUAAUAAAUAAAUAAAACCCGAUGGUUUGAAUUGUGGCAGCCCGGGACUUAUGCGCAAUUGAUUAUUCUGCGGAUACGUAUUUGCACCCGGGCAGCAGUCAGGUCUGGAAUGGUUGUCAGGGCAGCAAGUACAUCCUCACACAGCGACUGCCACGUAGACGACACGCACUGACACCGCGCCUUCUGUCACAGACAUUUGUCAGUGUUGUUAAUGUCACAACAGCAAGACAGUGUCACGUGAGAAAAUCAUCGCUGUGACCGCAAACUAUUCCAUUCUUCAUGUCUUCUCCCUGUCUAAAAAUGGCGUCGAAGCCUGGUGUGUGAUCAAUACAGUGGGCAACACACCUACAUGCCUGCUGUGUUGUGAAUGUCUUGGAAACUACCGACACGUACCACGUGACACUACACGCGGAAGACUACCCACAGGUUCUCCAUGAAAAAUGUCAGCUCGCUGGUACUUGCGGCAGGUGUUGUCUGUCUGUGUAACAUUAAUCUUCUGUCACCAUCUUCUGUUCCCCGCACGAGCUAUGGCACAAGAUACAACGUGUGAGGUACCUUCCGUAGAACCGUUGGCCAGUACUUCAGUCACCUGCCACUUUCCUGAGGAUGUCAGUCAGACUAACAAGGGCUUCAGUAUUGUCAUGUACAAGGGCAACAGAAGUCAAGAUGGAAAAGACAUUCUGGAGUGUGGUGGUUGGAAGGCAAAAUGGGAUGUGCCGGUGUCGUCUGGAU